GAAUGUUUACAACUUUACAUCCAAAGCAUGGCAUGGCUGUCGCGCUCGUCAUUUCUUUUAUUGUGUUUUGAUGCCAUUAUUUUUGUUAUCUUUCUGCAACUAUUACUUAUUUCUCAUAAUUGUUUAUGAGAGAUGUAUUUAAGCCAUUUUUUGAAAGUUCAACGGAGCUUCUUGUGUCGAUGCUCAUUUAUUCCUCGACAUAUUCUGUCAAAUCCUGAAAAAGAAUAAGAAAAAAAAUCAUAUCUGAAGACUGGCUUCUUGGUCUUUAAAAAAGAAAAUUGCAUUUCCUUGUUAUGUAGUUAAUUAUUCUUACUGAUCUGGUGUCUAGGAUCUGAGCAGUUGCAGUUAUGCUGCAAAAUUUUAAGGAUCUUCAAUUCCAAGCAUAUGCCAAUGAUGCAUAUGUGCUGAACUUUCUUGGCCUAUUGCAUGCCUUUGUAGUUUGUCCUGUUUGGUGAAUCCAAGGCUACAUAGAGAAUAUAUUGCCCUCUCUCAUUUUUUUUCAAAUUUUUGCUUGGGCAUGAUAAUUACUUGUC
rnacentral:lncRNA from 1 species